GUCGCUUCAAAUGCGCCACACGUGCCCCUUGGUCGCGUGGCUUAAAAGGAAUGCCAAACCCUCUCCACCUCCGCUCCCACUCUCCUUUCCAUAAAUGGCAUUCGCCAGACCCCUCUUCGGGCCCGAAAACCCUAAUCCUAACCCUAGCUGGAGGAGGAGGGGGGGGCCAUGACGGCGAUCGUGAUGGAGGAAGGGAAGGAGAAGGCGACAGCGACGACGGCAGUGGCGGAGGCAAGCAGUCGGCAGCUGAUGCACAGUCAGGUGCGGAGGAUACGGGAGGAGGAGCUGAGGAUCACCAGCGAGGGGAAGCGGAGUGCCGGGGACCGGGUCGCGCUGCUCCAUCCCCGCCCCCACGUCGACGCAACCUCGUGUUCGUGGUCGCGGCCAGUCCUGCCGUCUUCCCCUCUCGGGAGCAAGGCGGCGACCGGAUCGUCCCUCUUCUGAUAGCAGAGCCCGGAAUUGGAAUCUCAACCGCCUCGUACCUGUCAAAUGACCGAUUCUAACUCUGGGGUUAGGUCCGGUCCGGAAACGCACCUUUACAAGCUUUUCAGAGUUACGGCCGCAGAACAGAGCAGAAACUCUUUUUCAGUUUUCCAUCCUUGUAGAAAGUACAUUGUGGAUGUGCAGCCCAAGAGGUAAUAUUAUCAUUUUCUUAGGGGUAUAUGUGGAAAGAAGAUUUGAUUCUCUUUUCGGGCAACUUUCAUCGCUCUUUUUUCUGUGCAACCGUCGGCUCAACAGACUUUCUGUGACCGCGGGAGAGAGAGAGAGAGAAAGAGAGAGAGAGAGAGCUCCACUGAUUGACGGCGGGGACCACAUUAUAAAUGUGGACCCCGCCUGUCAUGGCUUGGGGUUCUGACGCUCGUACACUCGGACGCUGACGCCUCGCGCCCAGUUCUCCGUCCUCUAACGCCGCCAGCCGUCCGAUCUCUGCCCCUCGAUCGGCAUCUUUGUGGGACCCAUCCUCCGUUCCGCUGCUCCGCCGGCAACACUUAAUCCCCAUCAGAAACCCAACCCUAUCCCUAUCUAUCGGCUCCCAUUGGUCACCACGCAUUCUCUAGGCGGUUCCGGGGGUGCGCUGGAACAGUCUGAAAGCGAAGGGAAGACCAGCUUUUUUUUUUUUUUUUCCCCCUACAGUUCGAUAUAUAGCAAACCCAUUUCACAUGGGGGUACGGACAGACUUGGAGAUUAGAAGCAUCCAUGAAGGUGAGAAUAGAAUAAAAUAAAACAUACAGACCGAGUAGUAGCGGAGGAAGAAGAAGAUGGAUUACAUGAACUUUCUCAGCAGCGGUUGUUGGUCGGUUGCUGGAGGAGACAACUCGAGCCAAAAAACCUCGAAGAAAUGUACAUGGAAAAGAAAGAAA